GGAUGAGCCCGCGGCCUAUCAGCUUGUUGGUGAGGUAAUGGCUCACCAAGGCGACGACGGGUAGCCGGCCUGAAAGGGCGACCGGCCACACUGGGACUGAGACACGGCCCAGACUCCUACGGGAGGCAGCAGUGGGGAAUAUUGCACAAUGGGCGAAAGCCUGAUGCAGCGACGCCGCGUGAGGGAUGACGGCCUUCGGGUUGUAAACCUCUUUCAGCAGGGAAGAAGCGAAAGUGACGGUACCUGCAGAAGAAGCGCCGGCUAACUACGUGCCAGCAGCCGCGGUAAUACGUAGGGCGCAAGCGUUGUCCGGAAUUAUUGGGCGUAAAGAGCUCGUAGGCGGCUUGUCACGUCGGGUGUGAAAGCCCGGGGCUUAACCCCGGGUCUGCAUUCGAUACGGGCUAGCUAGAGUGUGGUAGGGGAGAUCGGAAUUCCUGGUGUAGCGGUGAAAUGCGCAGAUAUCAGGAGGAACACCGGUGGCGAAGGCGGAUCUCUGGGCCAUUACUGACGCUGAGGAGCGAAAGCGUGGGGAGCGAACAGGAUUAGAUACCCUGGUAGUCCACGCCGUAAACGGUGGGAACUAGGUGUUGGCGACAUUCCACGUCGUCGGUGCCGCAGCUAACGCAUUAAGUUCCCCGC
rnacentral:rRNA from 1 species